AAUGAAUACCUAAUUUCAGAGGGAUUGUAUGUGAAGUCUAUAUUUCACUGUUUUUAAAUGUUUCCCUGCCUCCCCCACCCUGCCUCUGGUUCCACCCUGUCCCGGUCCCUCUUCCUAGUGCUGCCCAGACUGGGUCACCAAACAGGCCUGUCUGACGGAACCCUUGUCACCUUUGUGGAGAAUUCUCUUUGGGCCCUGCCUGGAAGCAGGAAAAAUACUAUUGUAUUACAAGGCUCGGACCAAAGACAUCCUGAUUCGAUUCACUGCUUGGUGUUGUAUUCUUGGGCUCAUUUCUGUUGCUCUGACGAAGGUUUCUGAAAAUGAAGGCUUUAUUCCAGUAAACAAAAAUCUCUGGUCCCUUUCGUAUGUCACUACGCUCAGUUCUUUUGCCUUCUUCAUUCUGCUGGUCCUGUACCCAGUUGUGGAUGUGAAGGGGCUGUGGACAGGAACCCCAUUCUUUUAUCCAGGAAUGAAUUCCAUUCUGGUAUACGUCGGCCACGAGGUGUUUGAGAACUACUUCCCCUUUCAGUGGAAGCUGAAGGACAACCAGUCCCACAAGGAGCACCUGACUCAGAACAUCGUCGCCACUGCCCUCUGGGUGCUCAUUGCCUACAUCCUCUAUAGAAAGAAGAUUUUUUGGAAAAUCUGAUGGCUCCCACUGAGAUGUGCUGCUGGAAGACUCUAGUAGGCCUGCAGGGAGGACUGAAGCAGCCUUCGUUAAAGGGAAGCAUUCAUUAGGAAAUCGACUGGCUGCGUGUUUACAGACUCUGGGGGAAGACACUGAUGUCCUCAAACUGGUUAACUGAGACACGGCUGGCCAGAACUCUGCCUGUCUAUUUGUGACUUACAGAUUUGAAAUGUAAUUGUCUUUUUUCCUCCAUCUUCUGUGGAAAUGGAUGUCUUUGGAACUUCAUUCCAAGGAGAUAAGCUUUAACUUUCCAAAAGGGAAUUGCCAUGGGUGUUUUUCUUCUGUGGUGGGUGAAACAAUCUGAGGUCUGGUUCUUGCUGACCUUGUUGCCCUGCAAACUUCCUUUCCACGUGUACGCAAACACCAACACGAAAUGCCAUCACUCCUACUGCGGCUGCUAUGAAGCUUACUGGUUGUGAUGUGUUAUAAUUUAGUCUGUUUUUUUGAUUGAAUGCAGUUUAAUGUUUCCAGAAAGCCAAAGUAAUUUUCUUUUCAGAUAUGCAAGGCUUUGGUGGGUCCAAAAAAUGUCUAUCACAAGCCAUUUUUUCCUUUUCCUCUCUCGAAAAGUUAAAAUAUCUAUGUGUUAUUCCCAAACCCUCUUACCUAUGUAUCUGCCUGUCUGUCCAUCAUCUUCCUUCCUCCCUAUCUCUGUGUAUCUGGAUGGCAGCCGCUGCCCAGGGGAGUGGCUGUGGGGAGGGCAGGUACUGUCUUUGCCUGUGGGUCCAGCUGAGCCAUCCCUCCUGGGUGAUGCUCGGCAAGACCCUUGGCCCGUCUGGGCCUUGGCUUCCUCACUUGUGAAAUGAGCGGGAAGAUGACUCUCAGUUCCUUCCACCUCUUAGACAUGGUGAGGUAACAGACAUCAGAAGCUUUUCUGAAAUCUUCAGAAGAAAUAGUUCCAUUACAGAAAACUCUUCAAAAUAAAUAGUAGUGAAAACUUUUAAAAACUCUCAUUGGAGUAAGUCUUUUCAAGGUGAUCCUCCACAAUGGAGGCAGCGUUCCUACUUGUCAUCACACAGCUGAAGACAUUGUUUCUUAGGUGUGAAAUCGGGGACAAAGGACAAACAGAGACACACGGCAUUGUUCAUGGGAGGCAUCGUCACCCUCCUGGGUGUUCUGUGGGAAUUUCCUGUGUGAGGAAAACGUGGCCACAGGGUUGUGCUGUACCCACCCUUCCCCGGCGAGAUGGCCCUCGGCCUGUGCCGCUGCUUCCACCCUCGCCACUCCAUGGCAGCUUUUGGUCUGUUUCCGGCUCUGCCCUCUGCCCUGAACUCUCAUCCGGCUUGUACCUGCCUGCUGGACCCCUCCACCUGGAGGCCAGCCCAUGUCUCAGGCCCAGCCCUAGCCUCUUCUCCUCAAAUUCUAAGUGUUUUCUCUUUAGGUUUCCCUGGCUUUGUGAAUGGAUCAUGUGUCUCUAGGUAUAAACCUGACAUCAUCUUUCCACCCAGCUUACCUCCACCAGAUCUCCCCAGUUCUGUCUCCAUCUUCCACCUGCAGCUGCUCUGUUCUCAUGGUCACUGCUGCAUCACUGAGUCUGGACCCUUGUUAUCAUUUUCAAACUGGCCUCCUUCCCUCGUUCCCCACUUCUUAAAGUCACCUGUCCAUUGCCACCAGAUUAAGCUUUCUCCAGCCAGAUCACCUCUCUCUGAGAAACCUCCAUUGACAUGGAAACACCAUUGUCUGGCACACAUACUCACAUACUCACCUUCCCGUCUUGAUCCCCACACAUCUUUCCAGCCUCCCCUCCCACUCCACUCCCCGCUCCCUCCUCCACCUCCCCAUCCUCUUGUCUCCCCUCCCCUCUGAAUCCAGCCCAGCGGGGCUUCUCCUGCCUCCAUCACAUCACAGAAGUACCUCCUGCUUCUGGUUUUAAUUAGAGCCUUCCCCGAUUACAUUUUCCUCUGAAUUUUUUCCUAUCUACAUUUGAUCUGUCAUGUUUAAACCCCCUACUUCUAAGGGACCUUCUCUAAUCUCUUAUCCUCAUCCCCAAAUAGUGUUUUCUUCCUCUGGGUUCUUACAAUGUUGGUAUCAAUCUCACAGCAUUUAGUGCUUCCUGCCUGGUGUGACAGUUACCUGUGUGCAUGUGCAAUUUCUAAUUUCCCACGCUAGACUGUGAGCUUCCUAAGGCAAGAAUCAUGCCCUGUUGGUUUCUGUAUUCCUCAUGGUGCCAAACACAGUGCCUUGUACAUUGCAGGCACUGAAUAAACAUUUUUAAAGCAAAGUGAUGUGGAUUUUUAAAAUAAAUAUUUAAGUGCUGGUAAGAUGAGCAUGUAUCCGGGGUGCCCAUGAAAUGUUCUUGGGGCCGUGUGGGGACAGUCGUCAUUCCUCCUCCUGCCACCCUUUUCUUGCAGUGAGUCACUGUGGAUGGUCCCAGCUGUGUCAUCCCAAAGUUCAGCAGGGAAAGCUGAGCUGGGCCUCUCCAGGUGAGUUUUCUAGAAGCAUUUCUCAAACUGUGGGUUACAUCAACUUGGGUGUCUUGAGCUGUAAGGAAGGAACUCCGGAGUCAGCUGGGCUACAGGGGGAGCUUCUCUAAGUCCUGCGGGAGGCCAGACCCAGCCUGAGCUUGCUGUUAGCUAGCGGAGGCAGCUGCUGGUGGCCCAGGUGCUCGACACCAGGCAUCCCCUCUCCUCCCACGAAGGGUGUGCCAUAAUCCCCUUCAACAGGAAAUGCUUCCCAGAAGCCUCUCAGCAGCCUCCCCUCCUGUCCUAUCAGCUAGAAGCGCCUCGCUUGUCCCAAGACCAGCAGGGACAGGGAACUGUCUGAGCCCGUGGCUGUGUGGAGGAAGGCGACCCCCAGCACAAGAUUGGUUUCCUUUGGGAAGGGAAGAGGGAGUGUGUUGGGGUAAGGGGUAGAGCAGAGGAAUGGUCAGGGGGCAACAACCGCUGACAGCUGCAACAGGUGCAUGGCAUCUCACAGGGAGGCAGGGAGGUGCGAGCUCCUAAGUAAUGGAGCAAAAAAAUUCUAUUCUGUAGAAUGGGGAGAGAAAAUGUGACAUUUUAAUUUUUUUUGCAUUUAUAUUCCUAAUUCCUACUUAUAAUAAAGUGAAUAUACUGCCGCUGUAGAUCAUAAAAUGUAUCUUUUCCAUGGCCA
rnacentral:lncRNA from 1 species